GACGUAGGGUGCAAGCGUUAAUCGGAAUUACUGGGCGUAAAGCGUGCGCAGGCGGUUGUGCAAGACAGGUGUGAAAUCCCCGGGCUUAACCUGGGAACUGCACUUGUGACUGCACAGCUGGAGUACGGCAGAGGGGGAUGGAAUUCCGCGUGUAGCAGUGAAAUGCGUAGAGAUGUGGAGGAAUACCGAUGGCGAACGGCAGCCCCCUGGGAUAACAC
rnacentral:rRNA from 1 species